AUUGAACGCUGGCGGCAGGCCUAACACAUGCAAGUCGAGCGAGCGGCGGCCGGGUGAGUAAUGUAUGGGGACUGCCCGAUAGAGGGGGAUAACUACUGGAAACGGUGGCUAAUACCGCAUACUAUCGGAUAACCCAUAUGGGAUUAGCUAGUAGGUGGGGUAAAGGCUCACCUAGGCGACGAUCUCUAGCUGGUCUGAGAGGAUGAUCGGCCACACUGGGACUGAGACACGGCCCAGACUCUCGGGGGGGGAGCAGGGGGGAAUAUUGCAAAAUGGGCGAAAGCUUAUUGCCGCCAUGCCGCGUGUAUGAAGAGGGCCUUAGGGUUGAAAAGUACUUUCAGCGGGGAGGCGUAACCAGCAGAAGAAGCACCGGCUAACUCCGUGCCAGCAGCCGCGGAAAUA
rnacentral:rRNA from 1 species